rnacentral:rRNA from 1 species
AUACGGAGGGUGCAAGCGUUACUCGGAAUCACUGGGCGUAAAGCGCGCGCAGGCGGCUAUUUAAGUUGGAUGUGAAAGCCUACGGCUCAACCGUAGAACUGCAUCCAAAACUAUUUAGCUAGAGUGUGGGAGAGGAAGAUGGAAUUAGUUGUGUAGGGGUAAAAUCCGUAGAGAUAACUAGGAAUACCAAAAGCGAAGGCGAUCUUCUGGAACAGUACUGACGCUGAGGCGCGAAAGCGUGGGGAGCAAACAGAAUUAGAUACCCUAGUAGUCC